rnacentral:rRNA from 1 species
GAAGGCCCUUCGGGGUACUCGAGCGGCGAACGGGUGAGUAACACGUGAGCAACCUGCCCUAGGCUUUGGGAUAACCCUCGGAAACGGGGGCUAAUACCGGAUAGGACCUUCGGACGCAUGUCUGGGGGUGGAAAGUUUUUCGGCCUGGGAUGGGCUCGCGGCCUAUCAGCUUGUUGGUGGGGUGAUGGCCUACCAAGGCGACGACGGGUAGCCGGCCUGAGAGGGCGACCGGCCACACUGGGACUGAGACACGGCCCAGACUCCUACGGGAGGCAGCAGUGGGGAAUAUUGCACAAUGGGCGGAAGCCUGAUGCAGCGACGCCGCGUGAGGGAUGACGGCCUUCGGGUUGUAAACCUCUUUCAGCAGGGACGAAGCGCAAGUGACGGUACCUGCAGAAGAAGCGCCGGCCAACUACGUGCCAGCAGCCGCGGUAAGACGUAGGGCGCGAGCGUUGUCCGGAUUUAUUGGGCGUAAAGAGCUCGUAGGCGGCUUGUCGCGUCGACUGUGAAAACCCGCGGCUCAACUGCGGGCCUGCAGUCGAUACGGGCAGGCUAGAGUUCGGUAGGGGAGACUGGAAUUCCUGGUGUAGCGGUGAAAUGCG